rnacentral:rRNA from 1 species
AAACUUUCAACAACGGAUCUCUUGGCUCUAGCAUCGAUGAAGAACGCAGCGAAAUGCGAUAAGUAAUGUGAAUUGCAGAAUUCAGUGAAUCAUCGAAUCUUUGGACGCACAUUGCGCCUGGCAGUAUUCUGCCAGGCAUGCCUGUCCGAGCGUCAUUU